UUUGACCAAGGCACAGAAAAUAUGUCCAUUUGUUGUACAUGCUUUUCACUUUUUUAAGCUAAAGGCAGCAUCCAGAGAGGAAUCAGUCUGAAUCCAUGGACUGCAAAGCAGACUGGACCAGAGAUCUCACAGAGGUCCCUACAAAUGCAGCUGGAUUUCCUUAUCACUGGACCAGAACCUGAAGAAACCUAUAAGCAGAUGAGUAAAUAUGUACACAGGAGCCAGACAUCUGGGUUUUGUUCUAAUCCAAGAUAACCUGCCAGUGUUACCAGGGCAACUCUUGAGGGAACAGAUCUUCUGCAAAAGCAAUGAAAUGGAGAGAUUAUGCCUCGUAGAAAGGGAGGAAUAACAAAAGACAGAAAUCUUUCAUAAAAAAUCACAAUAAAAU
rnacentral:lncRNA from 1 species